AAGAAGUUAUAGCAGCGACAGCAAUACGACUCGUACACAAGCGUCCAACAUGGCGCCGAAUUGGUAGCUUCGUCAAAGCUCCUACAGAUAGCAGCAAUUUUGCAUGAGGUCUGUAGAUACGGUUAAUGGUUGUGAGCGCGAG
rnacentral:lncRNA from 1 species